rnacentral:misc_RNA from 1 species
GAUGAAGAACGCAGCGAAAUGCGAUACGCAAUGUGAAUUGCAGAAUUCAGUGAAUCAUCGAGUCUUUGAACGCACAUUGCGCCCCCUGGUAUUCCGGGGGGCAUGCCUGUCCGAGCGUCAUUGCUGCCCUCAAGCACGGCUUGUGUGUUGGGCCUCCGUCCUCCUCCCGGGGGACGGGCCCGAAAGGCAGCGGCGGCACCGCGUCCGGUCCUCGAGCGUAUGGGGCUUCGUCACCCGCUCUUGUAGGCCCGGCCGGCGCUUGCCGACACAUCAAUCUUUUUUCCAGGUUGACCUCGGAUCAGGUAGGGAUACCCGCUGAACUUAAGCAUAUCAAUAAGCGGAGGA